rnacentral:misc_RNA from 1 species
GAUGAAGAACGCAGCGAAAUGCGAUAAGUAAUGUGAAUUGCAGAAUUCAGUGAAUCAUCGAAUCUUUGAACGCACAUUGCGCCCGCCAGUAUUCUGGCGGGCAUGCCUGUUCGAGCGUCAUUACAACCCUCAGGCCCCCGGGCCUGGCGUUGGGGAUCGGCGGAAGCCCCCUGCGGGCACAACGCCGUCCCCCAAAUACAGUGGCGGUCCCGCCGCAGCUUCCAUUGCGUAGUAGCUAACACCUCGCAACUGGAGAGCGGCGCGGCCACGCCGUAAAACACCCAACUUCUGAAUGUUGACCUCGAAUCAGGUAGGAAUACCCGCUGAACUUAAGCAUAUCAAUAAGAGGAGGA